rnacentral:rRNA from 1 species
GCUUGUCUCAAAGAUUAAGCCAUGCAUGUCUAAGUGUAAAUAAGUCUAUACUGUGAAACUGCGAAUGGCUCAUUAAAUCAGUUAUCGUUUAUUUGAUGAUCUCUUACUACUUGGAUAACCGUAGUAAUUCUAGAGCUAAUACAUGCGUCAAGUCCUGACUGCGCGAGCGGAAAGGAUGUGUUUAUUAGAUACAACCAACCCCGCAAGGGUCCUGGUGAAUCAUAAUAACUGAGCGAACCGCAUGCUUCGGCGGCGGUGGUUCAUUCAAGUUUCUGCCCUAUCAGCUUUCGAUGGUAGGGUAUUGGCCUACCAUGGCUUUAACGGGUAACGGAGGAUCAGGGUUCGAUUCCGGAGAGGGAGCCUGAGAGAUGGCUACCACAUCCAAGGAAGGCAGCAGG